GGGUUGCAGUUCUUACCUUAGCCGCCUCAUCCGUCAAUGCGAUAGCCUCAAAGUAUCGCUCCAUAUGCCAUAAGAAGUUAUCCAACUCCUUGGCAUCCCGAUUGCCACUAAACCUAUGUGGCUUCGGCACCUCCACCCUAGAUGCCUCCUGUGUGGCCAUGACCCGUGCCGACACAGCAGCCUUGUAGAUGGCUAACUCCUGCCUAACCUCCUGGUCUCAGGACUCCAUUCGAGUGGCCAAGGCCUCUAUCCUUGACUCCAUGCUAGCAAGCAUGCUCAAGACCUUUCCUUGGAAGGACACAAACUCCUCGUGCGACACAGGCUGAACCUGUGAGACUAGCACCCUCUCACGAAGGUCUUGGAUCUGCUCCCUUAGAUCCUCUAAGCCCUUCUCCAUGCCUUGCUCGAUCAAGUCCAACCCCUCCCGAGUGUCCGCCAUGGCUAGCUCCGCCUUGGCUAACCUUGCCUCCAUGUUGGCAACGGCAUCACGAGAUUUAUCCUUCUUGCCCCUGCCCUGUGCAGUAGGCUCGGUCUCC
rnacentral:lncRNA from 1 species